rnacentral:rRNA from 1 species
GACGAACGCUGGCGGCGUGCUUAACACAUGCAAGUCGAACGGAAAGGCCCUGCUUUUGUGGGGUGCUCGAGUGGCGAACGCGUGCGUAACACGUGAGUAACCUGCCCUUGACUUUGGGAUAACUUCAGGAAACUGGGGCUAAUACCGGAUCGGAGCUCCUGCUGCAUGGUGGGGGUUGGAAAGUUUCGGCGGUUGGGGGUGGACUCGCGGCUUAUCAGCUUGUUGGUGGGGUAGUGGCUUACCAAGGCUUUGACGGGUAGCCGGCCUGAGAGGGGGACCGGCCACAUUGGGACUGAGAGACGGCCCAGACUCCUACGGGAGGCAGCAGUGGGGAAUAUUGCACAAUGGGCGGAAGCCUGAUGCAGCAACGCCGCGGGCGGGAUGACGGCCUUCGGGUUGUAAACCGCUUUCGCCUGUGACGAAGCGUGAGUGACGGUAAUGGGUAAAGAAGCACCGGCUAACUACGUG